UGUCUUGGCAACAGGCGGAGCAGCCUUGUUUUGGGGUGAGGCUGGAACGAGCUUUGGUGAAAAACCUUGGCUGGCAAUAUCCACCGACUGAGACUUCUGCUUUAAUCUGUACGGGGCAGACAGAAGACAGAGGACUUUUCCAGAAACCUGUGAGGAGCUGCGUUGGUGUUGGCAUUUCAGAAAGAUCAUUUCCCUCUCAGAUGUCUCCCUCAACCUGCCCUUCUGUACCGGUGAAGCCCUAAAUGAGUUAGUGUGGACCAGACUCCAUGUAAAGAGAAAAGAUGAGAUCAUGGAAGAAAAUGAGGAUUCAGCUUGGGUUCUAGUGAGGAGAAAAGAAAUAAAUGAGGAAUUGUGCUUUCAUGUCA